rnacentral:antisense_RNA from 1 species
CUUCACCGAGCCCAGCCACAGCGGCCGGUCGUCGUUCCGGUCCUGGCCGUACGUCGACAGCAGCGAGCGCACCUC